AAGGCCAGCCUGGUUAUGAUUGCCCUUUUAUAGAUGAGAAGAUUGAGGCUUAGGGAAGCUGAGAAAUCCUCCCCAAAAUCUCCCAGGAGAGCUGAAACUUGCAUAUUAUCUUUGACACCAGAAUGCAAGCUCUUCGCUCACCCACGACACUGUCCUUCUCCUCCUUUACAAUUUCAACGUGUGCCCUCUCUCCCCAGGUCUCCUGUGGGCAGAGGCAGUGUGCCGGAGCCCUGUGAUUUCCCGGGUCUGCCUGGCACGGCACCAUGCACGUGAUAGCUCAGGAACGGCAGUACUUGAUCGAAAAGCUAGAGCAUUCCCCCAUAGUUAAAGUCAACCCACUGAGAUUUCCUGAUCUCCAGGAUUCUUAACUGCUCCAUGGUGCUCUGUGCUGCCUGCGGCUGGCUGCCAUAGCAAACCAUUCCCAGCAUGGUUGCUCGAAGCCAUGGACGUGUAUUCACUUAGUUCUAGAGGCCACAAGCCAGAAUCAAGGGUGUUGCGGUGCCAAACUCCCUCCGAAGCCUCUUGGGGAGAAUCCAUCCCUGCCUCUCGUAGUGUCUGGUGGCUCCCAGUGUUAUUGGACCUGUGGCUGCAUUAUCCGGUCUCCGCCUCCACUUCCCCAUGGUCUCCUUCCCUGUGUGGCCCUGCGUCUUCUCCUUUUCUGUCACAAGGACACUGUCGUUGAAUUUAGGGCUUAGCCUAACCCCGAGAUAAUCUCAAGACCUUUAAGUUGGAGAAAAAUAAAACGUAGUAGCCCCAGGCACCGCACUCAUACUUCAUCUCAUUCUCACAAACACUGUGCAAAGUCAGGCGUUAUUAGUCCCAUUUUAAAGAUGGGAAAUGGGAGACUCUGAGAAGCUGUCCAAAGUUUUAGAGCUAGAAACUCACAAAUGUGGCCAGGUUUACAUAGCAUAGUCCUCACAUCCUUCUCCCUUCCUCCCUCCCUCCCUUCCUUCCUCCCUCCCUCCUUUCCUUCCUUCCUUCCUUCCUUCCUUCCAUAAAUAUUGAAUAACUACUGCAUGUGAAGAACCAUUCUAGGUGUUGAAGAUACAAAAAACAAAAACAAAAAUCUCUGCAUGAGGCUGAUAUUCUAAUGGGAGAGACAGACAUUAAGCCAUCAUGUAAAAUGCAUUGUAUUUUGAAUGAUGACAUUGCUAUGGAAAAGUUUUAAAGCAACGUGCGUACCUUGUUUGGACUUUUAUUCAAACAUAUCCACCGUAACAAGACAUCUUUCAGGACAUUUUCACCCAGUAUCACAACACUACGUAAGUUGUGGCAUCAUUUGAGACCAAUCCUUCAGACUUUAAAAAGGAAUUGAAAUUUUGAGUGUAGACAUCACGACUCUUCAAAAGCCGAAAACAGUGGCCGAUUUUCAAACUAGAAAAGGCCACUGAAGGAUCCUACAGGUUUUAACAUCUAAUAAGGCAAGUUCAUCAGGUGAACUUUGAACUGAUUCGGACCAAACUCCUCACCAGUUUUUCCCAAAUGUAAGGGGACCUCAGGACACCCUGAACUCCAAUUGCAGUGAACAUCCGACACAGCGACACAUUUGAAGGAGUGGAGGCUGAAGAAACACUCUUACUAGGAAGGGUGCUAGUGGAGGGGAGGUGUGUGAGCACCUAGCGACUUCUGGCGGGAAGGAAAAGGGGUGAAGGCCGAUGCCAUCAGAUAGCAUCUGCUGUGCAAGCCGUCACCAGAAUUAUAUUGUCCAUAGAGAUUUAAAGGCAGAAAACCCACUUUUGGGUGCUAGCAUGAAUAUCAAGUUGCAUACUUUGGCUUCAGUGGCAAACACAUCUUUUACAAUAAGCUGCAUGCCUUCUGUGGCAGCCCCUCCCUGCCCCCCCACCCCCCAUGCUGCCUCCAGAGCUCUUCCAGGGCCCAAAGUACAACCUGGUGGGAUGUAUGGAGUCUGGAAGUCAUCCAGUAUACAUUGGUCAAUGGAUUCCUGCCUUUUGAAGGACAGAAACUCAAAGAGCCCCGGGAGGGGUACUGAGUGGAAUAUAUCCCAUUGAGUUCUAGUCAAUGGAAUUGACAAUCUGCUCGAGAAAUUUCUCAUUCUCAAUCCCAGCAAGAGAGGAACUUUGGAGCCAAUUGGGAAGUCUCCGUGGAUUAUUGUGGAUCAUGAAUACGAGGAACUAACACCCCGCAUGGAGCCAUUCUCCGACUACCAGGGCCCUCGGCAGACUGAAUUCGGGGUGUUCGUGGGUUACACGUGGAAGGAGAGACCCAGGACUCACUGACAGGCCAGAAAUGCAAUGGGGAAGUGGCCAUGUAUCUGCUCCUGCGUUAUAAGAGAUCCGAGCCUGAGGGCUAUGCCACCACCCUGAAGCCUGAGCCUUCAGCCGAUUUAACCAACAGCCGCUGUCCUCACCAUCCACCAAGGUACAGCACGGGCUCUUUGCCAGCCACAGGCUGCACAAUUUCAGCAGCCAGACCUUCCCACCCUGAGAUUACUCUGAGAUCACUCAGAGGAGCCAGGCAGAUCCUGAGGAGGCUCAGGGGACAGGGUGCCAGCUCCCUACCCAGCUUGCAGGGAAAGAAGACCCCUGCUCUUCCCCCCCACCCCCCCCCCCCCCCGCCCUUC